UGCAAGUCGAGCGCAGGAAUAAACAGAACCCUUCGGGGUGAUGUUUAUGGAAUGAGCGGCGGACGGGUGAGUAACACGUGGGCAACCUGCCUGUAAGAUCGGGAUAACUCGCGGAAACGUGAGCUAAUACCGGAUAACACUUUUCAUCUCAUGGUGAGAAGAUAAAAGACGGUUUCGGCUGUCACUUACAGAUGGGCCCGCGGCGCAUUAGCUAGUUGGUGAGGUAACGGCUCACCAAGGCGACGAUGCGUAGCCGACCUGAGAGGGUGAUCGGCCACACUGGGACUGAGACACGGCCCAGACUCCUACGGGAGGCAGCAGUAGGGAAUCUUCCGCAAUGGACGAAAGUCUGACGGAGCAACGCCGCGUGAGUGAUGAAGGUUUUCGGAUCGUAAAACUCUGUUGUUAGGGAAGAACAAGUUGGGUAGUAACUGACCCAACCUUGACGGUACCUAACCAGAAAGCCACGGCUAACUACGUGCCAGCAGCCGCGGUAAUACGUAGGUGGCAAGCGUUGUCCGGAAUUAUUGGGCGUAAAGCGCUCGCAGGCGGUCUUUUAAGUCUGAUGUGAAAGCCCACGGCUUAACCGUGGAGGGUCAUUGGAAACUGGAGGACUUGAGUACAGAAGAGGAGAGUGGAAUUCCACGUGUAGCGGUGAAAUGCGUAGAGAUGUGGAGGAACACCAGUGGCGAAGGCGACUCUCUGGUCUGUAACUGACGCUGAGGAGCGAAAGCGUGGGUAGCGAACAGGAUUAGAUACCCUGGUAGUCCACGCCGUAAACGAUGAGUGCUAGGUGUUAGGGGGUUUCCGCCCCUUAGUGCUGAAGUUAACGCAUUAAGCACUCCGCCUGGGGAGUACGGCCGCAAGGCUGAAACUCAAAAGAAUUGACGGGGGCCCGCACAAGCGGUGGAGCAUGUGGUUUAAUUCGAAGCAACGCGAAGAACCUUACCAGGUCUUGACAUCCUCUGAUACCUCUAGAAGAUAGAGUUUUCCCUUCGGGGACAGAGUGACAGGUGGUGCAUGGUUGUCGUCAGCUCGUGUCGUGAGAUGUUGGGGUUAAGUCCCGCAACGAGCGCAACCCUUUGAUCUUAGUUGCCAGCAUUCAGUUGGGCACUCUAAAGGUGACUGCCGGUGACAAAC
rnacentral:rRNA from 1 species